rnacentral:rRNA from 1 species
UGAGCGCUCUUUGUGGUGGAGCGAUUUGUCUGGUUAAUUCCGAUAACGAACUAGACUCUAGUCUAUUAAAAAGGUGCGUGGUUCUCUGCACCUUGAGCCCUUUUCAGAGGGACACGCGGCUCCUAGUCGCACGAAACGGAGCAAUGACAGGUCUGUAA